GCAGUUGUAGCUCAGUGGUGGAGCAUCUGUUUCGCAUGCACAAGCUCCCAGGUUCAGUCCACAGCACCUCUGGGUUGGUAAAUCUCUGCUUGAAAUCUUAGAGACCCAAUGCUGGUCAGCAGAGACAGUGCUGAGCUGGAUGAACCAACGGUCUGAUUUAGCAUAAGUUACCUCCACAGAGUUAACUGUUAAACCACAGAGCCUAGGACUUGCUGAUCAGAAGGUCGGCGGUUCGAAUCCCCGCGACGGGG